CCUUCUAUGAUGAUUUUAUCAGCAUGACUUUCGUUCUUCUGAAUUACCUGAAGCCACAUUUAGAUACUGAGAAGG
ensembl:snoRNA SNORD59A small nucleolar RNA SNORD59